CAGUAGCCGCGGUAAUACGUAGGUCCCGAGCGUUGUCCGGAUUUAUUGGGCGUAAAGCGAGCGCAGGCGGUUAGAUAAGUCUGAAGUUAAAGGCUGUGGCUUAACCAUAGUACGCUUUGGAAACUGUUUAACUUGAGUGCAAGAGGGGAGAGUGGAAUUCCAUGUGUAGCGGUGAAAUGCGUAGAUAUUUGGAGGAACAUCGGUGGCGAAGGCGACCUUCUGGACUGUUACUGACGCUGAGAUCCGAAAGCGUGGGGAUCAAACAGGAUUAGAGACCCCUGUAGUCCCUGUCUCUUAUACA
rnacentral:rRNA from 1 species